CCUAUACAUGCAAGUCGAGGGUGACUAUCGGAUUCGUCUGAUAUGAAACCGGCGCACGCGGUGCGUAACACGUAUGCAACCUACCUUUAACUGGGGUAUAGCUCAGAGAAAUCUGAAUUAAUCCCCCAUAACACUACGACAUGGCAUCAUGAUGUAGUUAAAGCUCCGGCGGUUAAGGAUGGGCAUGCGGUACAUUAGCUAGUUGGUGAGGUAAUGGCUCACCAAGGCUACGAUGUAUAGGGGGUCUGAGAGGAUGAUCCCCCACACUGGUACUGAGACACGGACCAGACUCCUACGGGAGGCAGCAGUAGGGAAUAUUGGUCAAUGGACGAAAGUCUGAACCAGCCAUGCCGCGUGAAGGAUGAAGGCCCUCUGGGUCGUAAACUUCUUUUAUUAGGGAAGAAACCUCAGGAUGCGUCCUGAGCUGACGGUACUUAAUGAAUAAGGAUCGGCUAACUUCGUGCCAGCAGCCGCGGUAAGACGAAGGAUCCAAGCGUUGUCCGGAUUUACUGGGUUUAAAGGGUGCGUAGGCGGAAAAUUAAGUCAGUGGUGAAAGCCCGCAGCUCAACUGUGGAACUGCCAUUGAAACUGGUUUUCUUGAAUAUAGCUGAGGCAGAUGGAAUAUAACAUGUAGCGGUGAAAUGCUUAGAUAUGUUAUAGAACACCGAUUGCGAAGGCAGUCUGCUAAACUAUUAUUGACGCUGAGGCACGAAAGCGUGGGGAGCGAACAGGAUUAGAUACCCUGGUAGUCCACGCCCUAAACGUUGAUUACUCGCUGUUGGCGAUAUACUGUCAGUGGCUAAGCGAAAGCAUUAAGUAAUCCACCUGGGAAGUACGACCGCAAGGUUGAAACUCAAAGGAAUUGACGGGGGCCCGCACAAGCGGAGGAGCAUGUGGUUUAAUUCGAUGAUACGCGAGAAACCUUACCUGGGCUUAAAUGUC
rnacentral:rRNA from 1 species